ensembl:lncRNA mucin-5AC-like
CAUGAUGACCACAAUGACCACGGUGACCACCAAGGUGACCACCAUGAUCAUGAUGACCACGAUGACCACGCUGACCACCAAGGUGACCAAGGUGACCACGCUGACCACCAUGGUGACCACCAUGACCACAAUGACCACCAGGCUGACCAAGGUGACCACGCUGACCACCAUGGUGACCAAGGUGACCACCAUGACCACCAGGCUGACCAUGGUGACAAAGGUGACCACCAAGGUGACCACCAUGACCAUGACCACCAUGACCACCAUGACCACCAAGGUGACCAAGGUGACCACGCUGACCAGGCUGAGCACCAAGGUGACCAAGGUGACCACGCUGACCACCAAGGUGACCACCAUGACCACAAUGACAACCAUGACCACCAUGACCACCAUGACCACCAAGGUGACCAAGGUGACCACGCUGACCACCAGGCUGACCAAGGUGACCAAGGUGACCACCAAGGUGACCAAGGUGACCACGGUGACGAGGAUGACCAGCAGGGUGACCAGCGGUGGUGGUACAGCCGGUGUCCGGACGUGGACGAGUGCAGGCUGGGCCUGGCUCGUUGUCACCCGCGCGCCCGUUGUCACAACAGCCCCGGCAGCUUCCAGUGCCGCUGCCAGCGCGGUUACCAUGGCGACGGCGUGGCCAGCUGUGAGCCCACGUGUUUCUCCGACUGCGGCCACGGAUUCUGCUCGGGACCCCCCAACUUCACCUGCGUUUGUCACCUGGGCUGGACCAACCCCAAACCCCAAAAUUCCUCCUCGGGGGGGUCCCAGGAGCCCCCCCAGUGCUCGGUGGAUUGCGGCUGCAACUUCCACAGCUCCUGCGAGCGCGGCGGCCCCGGGUUCUGCGACCGCUGCCAGAGUGAGCCCCAAAAAUUUACACCAAAAUCACAGCAAAAACGGCCCCAAAAUCACAGCAAAAUACACCAAACUGCCCCAAAAAUUCACACCAAAAUCACAGCAAAACGGCCCCAAAAACACAGCAAAAUACCCUAAACUGCCCCAAAAAUUUACACCAAAAUCACAGCAAAACGGCCCCAAAAACACAGCAAAAUACCCCAAACUGCCCCAAAAAUUCACACCAAAAUCACAGCAAAAUACCCUAAACUGCCCCAAAAAUUUACACCAAAAUCACAGCAAAAUACCCUAA